UUCCACCUCAGCCAGGACUGCAGCGUCACUCACAGCAUGAACUGAAAACUCAUCUCCUCGCUGAACACUUCGCAUCGCUCUCCACUCCACCUUCCUCCUUCACUUGCAUCUGAUUUGAAUCCUGCCUUACAAGAAAGGGGAAGUCCCAGGGUGGUUUCCUUCAUCCAGGCAUUGAGGACAAGAGCCUGUCAAAACCUCAGCAGGAGUCCAGUGAAGGCUCUCUGUGGCCUGCUCUUGUUCCCAGCAUGGCACGGCUGCAGCACAGAAACCACAGAGGAAUAUUCUGUCCUCAGGGGAAGAGGAUCAAGCUUCUGUGAAAGAGACAACUUCAGAGUGCGAUGUCAUAUGGAGUCAUCCUCACUCCUCACCCCGCCAUCCGCCCUCUUGCUGCCAGGCACCCCCUGACCUCCGACCUGCGACCCCCUGCCAGCUAACCGCCCCACCCUGCAGGCUCUAUCUCACAGC